rnacentral:rRNA from 1 species
GAUGAACGCUGGCGGCGUGCUUAACACAUGCAAGUCGAACGAUGAAGCCCAGCUUGCUGGGUGGAUUAGUGGCGAACGGGUGAGUAACACGUGAGUAACCUGCCCUUAACUCUGGGAUAAGCCUGGGAAACUGGGUCUAAUACCGGAUAGGAGCGUCCACCGCAUGGUGGGUGUUGGAAAGAUUUAUCGGUUUUGGAUGGACUCGCGGCCUAUCAGCUUGUUGGUGAGGUAAUGGCUCACCAAGGCGACGACGGGUAGCCGGCCUGAGAGGGUGACCGGCCACACUGGGACUGAGACACGGCCCAGACUCCUACGGGAGGCAGCAGUGGGGAAUAUUGCACAAUGGGCGCAAGCCUGAUGCAGCGACGCCGCGUGAGGGAUGACGGCCUUCGGGUUGUAAACCCCUUUCAGUAGAGAAGAAGCGAAAGUGACGGUACCUGCAGAAGAAGCACCGGCUAACUACGUG